UACGUAGGGUGCGAGCGUUAAUCGGAAUUACUGGGCGUAAAGCGUGCGCAGGCGGUUUUGUAAGCCAGAUGUGAAAGCCCCGGGCUUAACCUGGGAAUGGCAUUUGGGACUGCAGGGCUUGAGUGCGGCAGAGGAGACUGGAAUUCCUGGUGUAGCAGUGAAAUGCGUAGAUAUCAGGAGGAAUACCGAUGGCGAAGGCAGGUCUCUGGGCUGACACUGACGCUCAUGCACGAAAGCGUGGGGAGCAACAGGAUUAGAA
rnacentral:rRNA from 1 species